CAUGAUACGAAAGAUCCAUUAUGAGUUGGUUCAGCAGGUAUCUGGUGCUGAACUUGGUAGGGCGGACUAUGGUCCGAUCCCCCGCAAUUUGCAAUGGACUAAAUAACGAAGUUAUCCGACUUAUGUACCAGAGCUUCUAGCUAAAAGGGGAUCAGAAUCACUAACCGGUCACUCCAUUAUGUGCGUGAAAUGAUAAAGGG
rnacentral:lncRNA from 1 species